GUGCUCACUUCAGCAGCACAUAUAUUAAAAUUGGAAUGUCAUAGAGAUGAUUAGCUUGGCCUGUCCAAGGAUGACACACAAACUUGUGAUGCCUUCCAUAUUUUU
rnacentral:snRNA from 1 species